GAAGUAAAAGUCGUAACAAGGUUUCCGUUGGUGAACCAGCGGAAGGAUCAUUACAGAGAUCAUGCCCCUCGCGGGUAGACCUCCCACCCUGUGUUAUUUACGAUUGUUGCUUUGGCAGGUCGCCUUCGGGCACUCGGCUCCGGCUGAGGCGUGCCUGCCAGAGGACCCCCAACUCUGUGUUUAGUGUUGUCUGAGCAUUAUUUUAAAUAAAGUUAAAACUUUCAACAACGGAUCUCUUGGUUCUGGCAUCGAUGAAGAACGCAGCGAAAUGCGAUAAGUAAUGUGAAUUGCAGAAUUCAGUGAAUCAUCGAAUCUUUGAACGCACAUUGCGCCCCUUGGUAUUCCGGGGGGCAUGCCUGUUCGAGCGUCAUUUCAACCCUCAAGCUCUGCUUGGUCUUGGGCCCUGCCGGCAACGGCUGGCCUUAAACACAGUGGCGGUGCCAUCUGAGCUCUACGCGUAGUACUACUUCUCGCGAUUGGGUCUCGGUGGACGCUGGCCAGCAACCCCCAAAUUUUUUAUGGUUGACCUCGGAUCAGGUAGGGAUACCCGCUGAACUUAAGCAUAUCAAUAAGCGGAGGAAAAGAAACCAACAGGGAUUACCUCAGUAACGGCGAGUGAAGCGGUAAUAGCUCAAAUUUGAAAUCUGGCUUCGGUCCGAGUUGUAAUUUGUAGAAGAUGCUUCGGGUGUGGCUCCGGUCUAAGUUCCUUGGAACAGGACGUCAUAGAGGGUGAGAAUCCCGUAUGUGACUGGCUGCCUUCGCCUAUGUGAAGCUCUUUCGACGAGUCGAGUUGUUUGGGAAUGCAGCUCAAAAUGGGUGGUAUAUUUCAUCUAAAGCUAAAUAUUGGCCAGAGACCGAUAGCGCACAAGUAGAGUGAUCGAAAGAUGAAAAGCACUUUGGAAAGAGAGUUAAAUAGUACGUGAAAUUGUUGAAAGGGAAGCGUUUGCAACCAGACUUGCACGUUGUCGAUCAUCCGGUGUUCUCACCGGUGCACUCGAUUUCGUUCAGGCCAGCAUCGGUUUGGGUGGUUGGAUAAAGGCCUUAGGAAUGUAGCUUCU
rnacentral:sRNA from 1 species